ACAGGCCAAGUUCAAUGUAUCUACUUUCAUUCACUAUUCUAAAGAAUCUAAUCCAGUCCGGCCCUCUUUUCAAGCCCUAGCUUCCUUUCUCACCGUCAAAACUCCAACAUCAUUUUUAAGCCGAAGUUCACCAUCACCACCGUCACCGCCACAAAGCUUAGCCGACAAUGGCGUCGGAAGGGUUCCGGCCACUGGACGAGAAGUCUUUGGUGGAGUACAUAAAGGCCACUCCAUCUCUGUCGUCUAAGCUCGGCAACGAACUCGAUGACCUCCAAAUCAAAGAGGUCGGCGAUGGAAAUCUCAACUUCGUCUAUAUUGUUUCCAGCCCCUCCGGUUCGUUCGUCGCCAAACAGGCUCUCCCAUACAUACGUUGCAUAGGGGAAUCAUGGCCGAUGACAAAGGAGCGCGCUUACUUUGAGGCAGUGACUCUAAAAGAGCAUGGUCGUUUGUGCCCUGGUCAUGUUCUGGAAGUUUAUCACUUUGACAGGGUUAUGUCUUUGAUUGGCAUGCACUAUUUGGAACCUCCACAUAUAAUAUUGAGGAAAGGGUUGAUAGCCGGAAUUGAGUACCCGUUGCUUGCAGAACGCAUUUCAGAAUAUAUGGCAAGGACUCUUUUCUUCACAUCACUUCCUCACCGUACUACCAUGGAGCACAAACGAGCAGUUGCUGAAUUUUGUGGGAAUGUGGAGUUAUGCAGGCUCACUGAGCAGGUUGUCUUUUCUGAUCCUUACAAAGUGUCUCCUCAUAAACGCUGGACUUCUCCCUAUCUUGAUCAUGAUGUGGAGGCAGUUCGUGAGGAUAACGCUUUGAAGCUUGAAGUUGCUGAGUUGAAAUCCAUGUUUUGCGAAAGGGCCCAAGCCCUUAUACAUGGUGAUCUCCAUACUGGUUCUGUGAUGGUUACAAGCGAUUCAACUCAGGUUAUAGAUCCAGAAUUUGCUUUCUAUGGGCCUAUGGGGUUUGAUAUUGGAGCCUUUGUAGGAAAUUUAAUUUUGGCUUUCUUCGCUCAAGAUGGUCAUGCAGAUCAGGAGAAUGACCGAAAAGCAUAUAAAGAUUGGAUCUUGAGGACAAUUGACGAGACUUGGAAUUUAUUCCACAAAAAAUUUACUGCUUUGUGGGACAAACACAAGGAUGGCUCUGGUGAGGCUUAUCUUCCGGCAAUUUAUAACAACCCUCAACUUCAGCUGCUGGUAAAACAGAAAUUCAUGAAAGAUUUGUUCCAUGGCACUCUUGGUUUUGGUGCUGCCAAAAUGAUAAGGAGAAUUGUCGAGGUAGCUCAUGUUGAGGAUUUUGAAUCAAUCACUGAUACCGGUAACCGAGCAGAUUGUGAGCGGCGAGCCCUUGACUUUGCUAAGAUGCUUAUGAAGGAAAGGAGAAAAUUUCAGGGCAUCGCUGAAGUUGUUUCUGCCAUUCAUGAACUCCAUUCUUGACAAAGUACUUGGUUAGACGCCGCGUCCUAGCCACGUGAUUCAGGAAGCCAAUUGUGAUCAAGGACAGGAUGGGACUUAGUGGCGUCGACCUAGUCUCUGCCUUUUUGUCAAGCCAACCUCUAUGCCUCACCGUGAGGUUUCAACCGGUCAAGCUUCGAAGCUUAAUGGGUGGUGUAAAAUUCACCCUUUUGUAUGGUGAACUAGUGCUAUAUGUGAUUUGAAUGUUGACAAGAUUUGUUUUGUUUGUCUGAUUAACUCCCUGAGUUUUGGUUAUGUUUUUGUGACUGUAAUGGUUUGAUACGUAUAUUUAUGUAUAUAUAUGUAUGUAAGUUCAUUCUGUCCCA